rnacentral:rRNA from 1 species
UACGUAGGGAGCAAGCGUUGUCCGGAAUCAUUGGGCGUAAAGCGCGCGUAGGUGGCCUCAUAAGUCCGCUGUGAAAGUCAAAGGCUCAACCUUUGAAAGCCGGUGGAUACUGUGAGGCUAGAGUACGGAAGAGGCGAGUGGAAUUCCUGGUGUAGCGGUGGAAUGCGCAGAUAUCAGGAGGAACACCAAUAGCGAAGGCAGCUCGCUGGACGUUACUGACACUGAGGAGCGAAAGUGUGGGGAGCGAACAGG